rnacentral:lncRNA from 1 species
UACCCCCCACCACCAAGAUCGGCGACCAUUAACCACCUAUCGAUCCCUACUGGGCCGCGCACGCACACUAUUUUCCUUCAUUUUCGUCACCAACAUUGGCGACAAUCAUCCACCUACCGACCCUUAUCAGGCCACACACACACACACUUUAAUCAUUCUCUCCCGUCAACAACAUCGGCGACCAUUCGCCACCUCUCGACCUAUACCAGGCCAGACACACACACACUUAUCAUUCUCUCCCGUCACCAAC